GGGGUAUUCAUCAUUUAUUUAUUAGUGAAUGCUUGUUAAUCAUUUUGCUAGAUAAAUAUGCUUGUGCCUUCUUUUUAUGAAUUUGUUUGUCAUUGUUUGAAACUAAUCAUUUAUUUAUCAAAUAGUAAAAUCUCAUUAUGAUGAAUUAAUUCUUGUGGUGGCUUAUGGAAUAAUCAGUUCUCAGCAUAAAAAAUUUUUUAUGAAUUUUUUGUUUGAUUAUAUGGUUCUUCCUGAUGUAAUAUAUUUUGGUCACCUUCACUCUAAUUUUGUUAUUUCCUUUAGUCAUGGAAAGGAGGAGAGACAAGAGGGAGAGGCGGG
rnacentral:misc_RNA from 1 species